GAAAGAUAGGAUACGGAAUGUCUUCAUCUUGUAGGCACGAAUUAGUCUAGUAACGAAUUGACACACAUAGCGGAAAUGGUUAAAGUUAUCUCCCGUUCGUUAGAGGGCAUCUGAGACAUCCAUUUUAUAUUAGAAGCGAGGAUCUUGCUGUAUAGUCAAGAUGCAGGCCGGAGGGCAACCAAUGAAGUAUCCUUAUACAAUUGCUGCUAAACUACAGCAGUUUCCAUGGAAAUUUCACUGGAAAAAUGGUCGAUUUAUUAGGUUCACUGCAUAUACAUGGCUUAUAUGUUUACCAAUUUUCUAUAAGAUUCACAAAGGAGCUAAUUCACCUGGAAACGUCCGCACAUGGGAUGCCAUAAGGAAGAAACGUGAUCAUACACACUUUGAUCCAGUACACGAAUAGACUAUAGACAGUGUAAAAAAAAUUAUGGAAUCAUUAGAACAUGUUUGAUACUAUAUUCGAAUUAGAAAAUCUAUUUAAUAAAAAUUAAAACAUUU